UACGUAGGGGGCUAGCGUUGUCCGGAAUCAUUGGGCGUAAAGCGCGUGUAGGCGGUCCGGUAAGUCCGCUGUGAAAGUCGGGGGCUCAACCCUCGGAUGCCGGUGGACACUGUCGGGCUUGAGUACGGAAGAGGCGAGUGGAAUUCCUGGUGUAGCGGUGAAAUGCGCAGAUAUCAGGAGGAACACCAAUGGCGAAGGCAGCUCGCUGGGACGUUACUGACGCUGAGACGCGAAAGCGUGGGGAGCAAACAGG
rnacentral:rRNA from 1 species